GAUGAACGCUAGCGGCGUGCCUAACACAUGCAAGUCGAACGUGAGAGGGUACUUGUAUCCUUGAAAGUGGCGGACGGGUGAGUAAGACGUAGGUGACCUGCCUUGAAGUGGGGGAUAACCAUUGGAAACGAUGGCUAAUACCGCAUAAGCUGGUGACGAUGGGAAUCGUUAUCAGGAAAGCUUUAGUGCUUUGAGAGGGGCCUACGGCCGAUUAGCUAGUUGGUGAGGUAAAGGCUCACCAAGGCGAUGAUCGGUAGCUGGUCUGAGAGGACGAUCAGCCACACGGGAACUGAGACACGGUCCCGACUCCUACGGGGGGCAGCAGUGAGGAAUAUUCGGCAAUGGGGGCAACCCUGACCGAGCAACGCCGCGUGGAGGAUGACGGUUUUCGGAUUGUAAACUCCUUUCUCAGGGAAGAGCGAGGACGGUACCUGGGGAAUAAGUCACGGCUAACUACGUG
rnacentral:rRNA from 1 species